UUUUUCGAGUCUUAGGGAGACCCUCGUGCCCCAGUGGAGGGACUUUGACGGACUGCUAAGAACAUUAUCAUCGACAGGAGAUCAAAGAAGCAAAUAAUUAAGAAAAAGAAAACUAAGAAAUGAUUAUGUGAAUUGAGAUGAGUCAAAUUAAAGCUUAGGUAUCGUGUUUUAUAUAAGAAAUUACAAGUAUAUAAUAUAAAAACCCAUUGUUACAAUAAUCAAAUACCCGAUAAAUGAAUUUGUGAUGCCUAACAAGAUUAAAUUCUUAGAUUUUAAAGAAAAAAAGUACAAGAUUAUUAAUGUUUUUACAUAUAUUACAAAAAAUAUGUUUCAGUUAACUGUGUUAAAAAAAUUAACAUUAUAUAUUAACUUUUAGACUUUCCUGUUGCAUGAUUUAUGAUUUAAAUGAGACUGAAAUUUCGAUGUCGACAUAACGCAGGUAAAUUAUCGUAUGUUACCACCUAUAUGGUCGCGUUAAUUCCCAUCUCUAAUUAAUCAUAAACUAAAAAUAACUUUCUGGCAGCAUUAAUAAUUUUAAAGAGUACGUAAUACAAAAUAAGUAAAGUCAAAAUAACGGAAAUGACAAGGUAUUUUUAUUUUAUCGCGAAUGUUGAUGUGUAUAUAUAUCUAUAGGCAGAUAAUAUUUAUUUAAAUCAGUCAGAUUUAAUGAUCAGUGCUUAUCCGAAGUUGCUCUGACAUUUUGUACAAGUGCUUACUAGUAUUAGUUAUAAAUGUAAAACUAAGUUUGUUUCCUUAUAACGCCUUAAUGGCUUUUUAACUAAUCAUUAUGAAAUUUGAUAGACAUAUAUUACAUGGGAUGUAGAAGGAUAUAAGGCUACUUUUUAUCCCGGUCAGUAAACAAAUCCUGGUUAUGCGAAUGAGGUCGCGGGUAAAGCUAGUGGUAAUAUAAAAUAAACAUGCACUAAGAAGACUAGAAAUUUUUAAGGAAAAACCAAAGAACGCAGGUGAAGCCACGAGAAACAAGUAGUUUUAUUAUAAUAAUAUAUCUAUUUUCUUUGAAAAUUACUCAUGGCAUACAUUUAUUUGCGUAUAGAUAGAUAUAUAUUAUAUAGUCAGUUGAUGUUACAGUAAUUUCAUUUGGCAGGCAUAUUACAAUUUUACUACAUUAUUAUAUUAAGCGGUCGCCACUCAAGUGGCGUAAGUAAAUGAUGAUGAUGAUGAUUAUAUUAAGCAAUUAGCUAUUAAUAAAAUACUAUUAUGUAAUGAUAUUAGGUACUAUAUAGUAUUAGUCUAGUACCACUAUCUAUAAUUACAAAAAGUGGACAUGCCAUAUAAAUUUUUAAUAUUUUAUGAAAGCUAUGCCAUAAAAUAACUUAUUAAUUAUUAAGAGAUAUGAAGAUAACUCUUAUUAUGUUUUCAUUUGACAAUGUACAUUAUAUAUUUUAUAAAACAUAUAUUUUAUAGGAUAGAAAAAUUUUGACUCCUUGGAAUCUAAUUAAAUGUCAAGGAGACAUAUAAAGUUAAUAAGUAAAACCAGUUGUGAAUGGUUGGAAUGCAUACUUACAAAUUAAAUGUGAAAUAAUCCUCCAGUUUACAUGAUGCAAUAACAAUUUAUUAUCUGUAUUGUAUUAAAUAUGAUAAUCUCCUAUUUUCAUAUAUAAUUACAGAAAUACAAAAUGUCCCUUGACCAUUACACUAAAUUAUAAUAAAAGAAAAACUGUAAUCCAGGAAUACAGAUUUAUUGACUGAACAAGAUUUAUUAAGUACAUAUUUAGUUAUACAUGUCAUGUUAAGGACAUGUAAAGAUUGACAGAUACAUAGAUUAGCAUGUUAAUAAUUGCUUAUAAUUCUUGUUAUUUAUAAAAUAUUGGAAUGUCAUUAUGUGCUACUUGAAAUCAAUUAUAUACGAGAAGUUUUUUUUAUUUUUGUUUCCUAUGUUCCUAAGGAGAUAACAGUAAGAUGAUGAUGAUAAGUUAAGAAAAGUUGUACUACUCAGUAAAUACUGUACCUGGGUUUUGAAUGUAAAGAUAAUUAAUUAAUUUGGUACCUAUAAUGAAAGCAGACCCUAAGCAUAUUCAGAUUUAACACAUGGUAGUAUUAGAUUAAUAUAAUUUUGUCACAGAAAUGACAUGUACAUAAAUAUUGCUAAAUGACUGUAAAAUAUGCGAGAUUUCAUGAAUUUGUUUAGUAAAUGAUAUUCAUAAAUUACAUUCUUAUUUAUGGAA